CGUAGUGACAUUAUUGCUUGACAAAUGAGGUGCAUGAAGACAGCGAGGCUAAUUUCCAUCAUUUGGGCUCGAAACUGGCCUAUCAAAUCAAAAAUUUUCUUUGUGAAAAAUCUUUUGAUUGGGCAUAUCACCCAAUUCGGGAAGAAUUGGACAAUUAAAAAGAAAUGUGGCAUCGUCAUAUUUGUUAUUCCUAGUUCCAUGCAUUUUAAUGCACC
rnacentral:lncRNA from 1 species